CAGCAGCCACGGGAAUACGUAGGGUGCGAGCGUUAAUCGGAAUUACUGGGCGUAAAGCGUGCGCAGGCGGUUUUGUAAGACAGGCGUGAAAUCCCCGGGCUCAACCUGGGAAUGGCGCUUGUGACUGCAAAGCUAGAGUGCGGCAGAGGGGGAUGGAAUUCCGCGUGUAGCAGUGAAUGCGUAGAUAUGCGGAGGAACACCGAUGGCGAAGGCAAUCCCCUGGGCCUGCACUGACGCUCAUGCACGAAAGCGUGAGGAGCAAACAGGAUUAGAUACCCCAGUAGUCCCUGUCUCUUAUACA
rnacentral:rRNA from 1 species